UGACCAAUCAAGCCUGGCUUGGUAUUGGGGUACGCGGUCCCGCGGCCCCUAAACACAGUGGCGGCGCCUGUAGGCUCUACGCGUAGUAAAUAUCCUCGCGAUAGGGUCCUGGAGGCGUCCUGCCAAAACCCCCCAAUCUUUCAC
rnacentral:misc_RNA from 1 species